AGCCGGCCGAUGAGUCCUAAAUAGGACGAAACGCGUGUCAAACUGGAU
rfam:Schistosoma mansoni strain Puerto Rico chromosome 1, complete genome